rnacentral:snRNA from 1 species
AAAAAUGAUGAAGUCCAAUUGCUGACCGAAC